GACUGACUUAGAGUGGCUAGAGCGUCCGCCUAGGAUGCGGGAGGUCGUGGAUUCGAUACCCGUUUGAGUCA